rnacentral:rRNA from 1 species
UGGGGAAUAUUGGACAAUGGGGGGAACCCUGAUCCAGCCAUGCCGCGUGUGUGAAGAAGGCCUUAUGGUUGUAAAGCACUUUAAGCGAGGAGGAGGGUACUGGUAUUAAUACUACCAGCUACUGGACGUUACUCGCAGAAUAAGCACCGGCUAACUCUGUGCCAGCAGCCGCGGUAAUACAGAGGGUGCGAGCGUUAAUCGGAUUUACUGGGCGUAAAGCGUGCGUAGGCGGCUAAUUGAGUCGGAUGUGAAAUCCCCGAGCUUAACUUGGGAAUUGCAUUCGAUACUGGUUAGCUAGAGUGUGGGAGAGGAUGGUAGAAUUCCAGGUGUAGCGGUGAAAUGCGUAGAGAUCAGGAGGAAUACCGAUGGCGAAGGCAGCCAUCUGGCCUAACACUGACGCUGAGGUACGAAAGCAUGGGGAGCAAACAGG